CGGGCGCGCUCCGCGGAGAUAGAGGAGUGCACUUCCCAAACCCGGCGACGGCGGAAUUCCUUCUGCUUAUCUUUAUAUAAAUACGUAUAUAUAUCAACUUGGCUCUAAUUUCUCUUUAAUCUAAAAUAUGCAUCCAGAAAAUAUAAUAUUCGUCAAAAAAAAAUCCAGUUGCUUCAAGUAGAAACUUGAAACAUGUGCGCGCGCGAGAGAGGGGUCCAGAGGCUUCUGGGAAAUUAAAAAAAAAAGGGAAUUCUUCUCGUCCCGGAGCCCCGUCGCGAAACUUUUCCUGUCAGCGAGGCUGGGUCUACGGUGGCGGUGGACGUCGCUUCGCGCUCCUUCCGUCUCAGGCCGCUCUCCGCGCCGCCGGGUGACUCACUCUCAGUGGCUCCACUCUCCCCGCGGCCCCGCUUAUCAACGCCGCGUCCGCCGUGCGCGUCACCGCGGGGGCGUGGCCGAGAACCUUCCGCCGCGUCGCGGGCGAUGUCGGCUAAACGGAGACCAACCUGCGGAACGGGCGCGACUGCUCCGCACCGGUGCGAAGGAAGAUAGACGUAACUUUAUGCGACGCGUAACUGGUCAAGCAUGAGACCAAACCAAGAGCUCAGCCCAGAACGUCAACUUCGCGUUUCGAUCAACACGGAUCAUGUGGAGUGUGGGUGGAGUGUGAAAACGCAAAGUAUAUAAUCCAGCCGGCGUUCACCAGAGCCCCCGUUUUCACUGGAAUCGCUACAUAUAUUAACAGAGCGAGAGGGACGAACGCCACGCUGCUCGCACUGCGCUCUCUCUCUCUCUCUCUCUCCUGCCUUGAGGACAGUGUUGUUGUCACAGGAUUAGCUUCGUGACCCAGAUUAUAUCAUACAUGUUCUUGGAGGAUAAUCUGCUCUCACCAAAUGCUGCUGCAGACACGUGCAGUGCGGCCGACAGAGGCCAUUUAGGCCAAAAGCGCAUCCAGGAACCACUUGGGAAAUGACACGCCUGAAACACAACUCUCAGAAAGGCACACGCUUAUUCACAGUUUACCUACCAUGUUUUUUUGCACACCUGAGGUGGUGUGCACGCACGCAGGGUGUUAGUAGCCUAGUGGGUAACACACUCCCCAGAAGGCCCAGGUUCAAAUCCCCACUGUGUCCCUGAGCAAGACACUUAACCCUACGUUGCUCCAGGGGGGACUGUCCCUGUAACUACUGAUUGUAAGUCUCUCUGGAUAAGGGGCGUCUGAUAAAUGCUGUAAAUGUAAAAUUGCACGGCAUCAUUAACGUGCUAAAUUCGUAAAGCGUGCCGCUGUGAAGCAGUCCGUCGAAAUGAAGAAGAUUACCUUCUAUUGCAGCCCUUUCGUGACCCGCCCGUGAAACUGAUCCACGAUUAUGGAAAGGAUUCAAUGACAGCCAGUGACCCCGGAUCUGUGAGCCACACGGGUGCAUGGGUGUUUCGUAAGGAGGGCCCUGAGCAGACACCACAAGGAUUUCAGGUUGGCAAGGGCAGCUGAUCUCGAUUAGCGCCCCGACUAUCUCUUCAAAUUCUAUUUGCAGGUUUCCUUGGCAACAAAUGCAGAACAGUGAGAAACGGAACAGGAGGAGAAUUGCGCA
rnacentral:lncRNA from 1 species